UUAAAAUGGGCUUGGAAGUCCAAAACAAAAGCAGAUAGAAAAUGAAGUUCAAACUGAUAAAAUAAAGAAAAUAAAACAUGAUGCAACUCUAGAGCUUCUUCCAAACCCUUCAGUGACCAGAAAACCCAAACAGCCAAAACCUUGCGAGAUCUGGUAAUCAGAACUAGCAAACAAUGGAAGGGAGUUGAGAUAUACCUUUAGAAUAUCAGAAGUUCUCAACCCAGAGCAGCGAGCAGUAGAGGAGGGAAAUUAUGGUGGCCAGAUGAAAAGACGAUCCAAAUCUGCCAUUUCCAUCGCUUUUAAUAGGGCAUCUUCAACCCAGAACGAGUCUUCUGAUCUUCUCAUCCCUUCGACCGCCAUCGCAUGCGCCACUGCGUUACUUUCUCCCGCAACGAACUCAAAAUGACAUGAAGAAAAUUUCAUUAGAAACCGACGUCAACAUUCACUUUGACCCAAUUCGUAGGAGGGGGCUCCCAUUUUAUCAACUAUCUGGGUCAGGGGUGUUGUAAUAUUCCAAAAAGCCUCUUGUACUCCCUGCCAUAACCCCUGAUAAAGGUAACAACUUCCUCCACACUUUGUACUUUUCUUUCAUGUAUCAGUUUGUUGCGGGAAAAUCAGAUUGCCCAAAUUGUAAUGGCUAUUUCCCCUUUACUGUUACUGGAGUUUAACCAGUUGUUAAAACUCAUAGACGCAUUGAACUUGGCCACUGAUAAUUUAAUUUUGAUCAAACAUGCAUAGUGAAUGCACAGUCUCGUGCAACAUGAACAUGUGAUUUACUACAA